UCCAUGACUUUAUUUGGAUAAACCUGGUACAAUAAAAUCAUCAUUUUUAACAAAGUCCUAGACACAAAGCUAACUAUCUUCAUAGUUUUUUAAAGGCGCAAAUGAAAGUACUGAAUUUCAAAGUAAAUUAAUUUUUUUUAUCAAUGUUAAAUCAUUUAAACCUGUGCAUUUGUUAAAAAAAUGGAAGGCUGAUAAAAGGGAAAGAAAAAAAUGAUAAUUUUCAGUAAUAGCUUACCAUAACUUUGACAGUGUUUCUAA